UACAGAGGUCCCAAGCGUUGUUCGGAUUCAUUGGGCGUAAAGGGUGCGUAGGCGGCGCGGUAAGUCGGGUGUGAAAACUGGAGGCUCAACCUUCAGAGGUCGACCGAAACCAUCUGGCUAGAGUCCGGGAGAGGAGAGUGGAAUUCCUGGUGUAGCGGUGAAAUGCGCAGAUAUCAGGAAGAACACCCGUGGCGAAAGCGGCUCUCUGGAACGGUACUGACGCUGAGACGCGAAAGCGUGGGGAGCGAACAGG
rnacentral:rRNA from 1 species